UGAGGAAUAUUGGUCAAUGGUCGGAAGACUGAACGAGCCAUGCCGCGUGCAGGAUGACGGCCUUAUGGGUUGUAAACCUGUUUUGUAUGGGAAGAAUAUGGGGUACGUGUCCUCUAAUUGAUCGGUAUCUAUAUGAAU
rnacentral:rRNA from 1 species